rnacentral:lncRNA from 1 species
GCCGCGCGCGACGGUGGUGCCUCGAGUGCAUUCGGUCCUGAGACGCAGGCAGACGACAAAAUUGCAUCAGACGUGACGGCUGUGUCACACGUUUUUUUUUACUUGACCUUCAAGUAUUGCGUACCUGCCUAAUUUCUACUUAUUUGUGCUAGACAAAUUCUAAUCGGAAAUCCCGCUGGGGAUUUAAUUUCUACGUUGGAUUGCUACGUUGGAUAUUCUACGUUCUUCUGUAAACCCUCGCUACGCAAUCUUUCUACCUGGCGGCGAGUGAAAGACCAGACCUGAUCCUGUCUGGAACUACCUGGGUCCUGCUGGAGACCUGGCAGUGCAACCUGGCAAGGAGCUGGGCCGUCGUCGGAGCUACACCACGGUUCAGGCCAGUGUUCCCAGUGUACCUUCUACCUCGAGAUCUAUUCGUGGUUAGGGCAACAGAAGUUGGCUUAAAUAAAGUCUCAAUUUCUACCAAA